UUGAACGCUGGCGGCAGGCCUAACACAUGCAAGUCGAACGGUAGCACAGAGAGCUUGCUCUCGGGUGACGAGUGGCGGACGGGUGAGUAAUGUCUGGGAAACUGCCCGAUGGAGGGGGAUAACUACUGGAAACGGUAGCUAAUACCGCAUAACGUCUUCGGACCAAAGUGGGGGACCUUCGGGCCUCACACCAUCGGAUGUGCCCAGAUGGGAUUAGCUAGUAGGUGGGGUAAUGGCUCACCUAGGCGACGAUCCCUAGCUGGUCUGAGAGGAUGACCAGCCACACUGGAACUGAGACACGGUCCAGACUCCUACGGGAGGCAGCAGUGGGGAAUAUUGCACAAUGGGCGCAAGCCUGAUGCAGCCAUGCCGCGUGUAUGAAGAAGGCCUUCGGGUUGUAAAGUACUUUCAGCGGGGAGGAAGGCGAUGGAGUUAAUAGCUUCAUCGAUUGACGUUACCCGCAGAAGAAGCACCGGCUAACUCCGUGCCAGCAGCCGCGGUAAUACGGAGGGUGCAAGCGUUAAUCGGAAUUACUGGGCGUAAAGCGCACGCAGGCGGUCUGUCAAGUCGGAUGUGAAAUCCCCGGGCUUAACCUGGGAACUGCAUUCGAAACUGGCAGGCUAGAGUCUUGUAGAGGGGGGUAGAAUUCCAGGUGUAGCGGUGAAAUGCGUAGAGAUCUGGAGGAAUACCGGUGGCGAAGGCGGCCCCCUGGGACAAAGACUGACGCUCAGGUGCGAAAGCGUGGGGAGCAAACAGGAUUAGAUACCCUGGUAGUCCACGCCGUAAACGAUGUCGACUUGGAGGUUGUGCCCUUGAGGCGUGGCUUCCGGAGCUAACGCGUUAAGUCGACCGCCUGGGGAGUACGGCCGCAAGGUUAAAACUCAAAUGAAUUGACGGGGGCCCGCACAAGCGGUGGAGCAUGUGGUUUAAUUCGAUGCAACGCGAAGAACCUUACCUACUCUUGACAUCCAGCGAAUUCGGUAGAGAUACCUUAGUGCCUUCGGGAACGCUGAGACAGGUGCUGCAUGGCUGUCGUCAGCUCGUGUUGUGAAAUGUUGGGUUAAGUCCCGCAACGAGCGCAACCCUUAUCCUUUGUUGCCAGCGGUCCGGCCGGGAACUCAAAGGAGACUGCCAGUGAUAAACUGGAGGAAGGUGGGGAUGACGUCAAGUCAUCAUGGCCCUUACGAGUAGGGCUACACACGUGCUACAAUGGCGCAUACAAAGAGAAGCGACCUCGCGAGAGCAAGCGGACCUCAUAAAGUGCGUCGUAGUCCGGAUUGGAGUCUGCAACUCGACUCCAUGAAGUCGGAAUCGCUAGUAAUCGUAGAUCAGAAUGCUACGGUGAAUACGUUCCCGGGCCUUGUACACACCGC
rnacentral:rRNA from 1 species